rnacentral:rRNA from 1 species
AGUGAACGCUGGCGGCAGGCCUAACACAUGCAAGUCGAACGAGGUCUUCGGACUUAGUGGCGGACGGGUGAGUAACACGUGGGAACGUGCCUUGAGGUUCGGAAUAGCUCCUGGAAACGGGUGGUAAUGCCGAAUGUGCCCUUCGGGGGAAAGAGUUAUCGCCUUUAGAGCGGCCCUCGUCUGAUUAGCUAGUUGGUGAGGUAAUGGCUCACCAAGGCGACGAUCAUUAGCUGGUCUGAGAGGAUGACCAGCCACAUUGGGACUGAGACACGGCCCAAACUCCUCCGGGAGGCAGCAGUGGGGAAUCUUGAGCAAUAGGCGAAAGCCUGACGCAGCCAUGCCGCGUGAAUGAUGAAGGUCUUAGGAUUGUAAAAUUCUUUCACCGGGGACGAUAAUGACGGUACCCGGAGAAGAAGCCCCGGCUAACUUCGUGCCAGCCGCCGCCGUAAUAC